CCCUUAGAUGUCCUGGGCCGUACGCGCGCUACACUGAGUGUCUGAGAUACGAGUCUGCCUGGUCCGGCAAGGUCUAGGUAAUCGCUAAAAGACACAUCAUGCUUGGGAUAGAUUAUUGCAAAUAUUAAUCUUGAACGAGGAAUUCCUAGUAAGCGCAAGUCAACAGCUUGCGUUUAUUACGUCCCUGCCCUUUGUACACACCGCCCGUCGCUACUACUGAUUGGAUGUUUAAGCGAGGUUCUCGAACUGCUAGCGACUUAGCUUCGGUGAGGUCGCAGUGUGGGAAGUGAACCUAGCUUUGGUGUCUAGAGGAAGUAAAAGUCGUAACA
rnacentral:rRNA from 1 species